rnacentral:tRNA from 1 species
GCAGGAGAUCGCCAGCACCUGCCUUACAAGCAGGGGGUCGGCGGUUCGAUCCCGUCAUCCUCCACCA